rnacentral:rRNA from 1 species
CCUACGGGAGGCAGCAGUGGGGAAUCUUCGGCAAUGGGGGAAACCCUGACCGAGCGACGCCGCGUGCGGGAUGAAGGCCCUCGGGUUGUAAACCGCUGUCGUAAGGGAACAAAUCUAUGAGGGUACUCUCUCAUAGUUGAGUGAUCUUAGGAGGAAGGACGGGCUAAGUUCGUGCCAGCAGCCGCGGUAAGACGAACCGUCCGAACGUUAUUCGGUAUCACUGGGCUUAAAGAGUUCGUAGGCGGCCCGACAGGUGAGGUGUGAAAUCCCUCGGCUCAACCGAGGAAUUGCGCUUCAAACCGUCAGGCUUGAGGGAGAUAGAGGUGAGCGGAACAGAUGGUGGAGCGGUGAAAUGCGUUGAUAUCAUCUGGAACACCGGUGGCGAAAGCGGCUCACUGGAUCUUUUCUGACGCUGAGGAACGAAAGCUAGGGUAGCGAACGGGCUUAGAUACCCCGGUAGUC